GGCCCCAUCGUCUAGCGGUUAGGACAUCGGCCUCUCACGCCGGUAACGCGAGUUCGAGUCUCGCUGGGGUCACCA
rnacentral:tRNA from 2 species